rnacentral:rRNA from 1 species
AUACGUAGGGGGCAAGCGUUAUCCGGAUUUACUGGGUGUAAAGGGAGCGUAGGUGGCAGGGCAAGUCAGAUGUGAAAGCCCGGGGCUCAACCCCGGGACUGCAUUUGAAACUGCCUUGCUAGAGUGCAGGAGAGGUAAGUGGAAUUCCUAGUGUAGCGGUGAAAUGCGUAGAUAUUAGGAGGAACACCAGUGGCGAAGGCGGCUUACUGGACUGUAACUGACACUGAGGCAUGAAAGCGUGGGUAGC